rnacentral:rRNA from 1 species
UGGGGAAUAUUGGACAAUGGGGGGAACCCUGAUCCAGCCAUGCCGCGUGUGUGAAGAAGGCCUUAUGGUUGUAAAGCACUUUAAGCGAGGAGGAGGGUACUGGUAUUAAUACUACCAGGUACUGGACGUUACUCGCAGAAUAAUCACCGGCUAACUCUGUGCCAGCAGCCGCGGUAAUACAGAGGGUGCGAGCGUUAAUCGGAUUUACUGGGCGUAAAGCGUGCGUAGGCGGCUAAUUGAGUCGGAUGUGAAAUCCCCGAGCUUAACUUGGGAAUUGCAUUCGAUACUGGUUAGCUAGAGUGUGGGAGAGGAUGGUAGAAUUCCAGGUGUAGCGGUGAAAUGCGUAGAGAUCUGGAGGAAUACCGAUGGCGAAGGCAGCCAUCUGGCCUAACACUGACGCUGAGGUACGAAAGCAUGGGGAGCAAACAGG